AUUGAACGCUGGCGGCAUGCCUUACACAUGCAAGUCGAACGGUAACGCGGGGCAACCUGGCGACGAGUGGCGAACGGGUGAGUAAUGUAUCGGAACGUGCCCAGUUGUGGGGGAUAACUGCUCGAAAGAGCAGCUAAUACCGCAUACGACCUGAGGGUGAAAGCGGGGGAUCGCAAGACCUCGCGCAAUUGGAGCGGCCGAUAUCAGAUUAGGUAGUUGGUGGGGUAAAGGCUCACCAAGCCAACGAUCUGUAGCUGGUCUGAGAGGACGACCAGCCACACUGGGACUGAGACACGGCCCAGACUCCUACGGGAGGCAGCAGUGGGGAAUUUUGGACAAUGGGCGCAAGCCUGAUCCAGCCAUGCCGCGUGCGGGAAGAAGGCCUUCGGGUUGUAAACCGCUUUUGUCAGGGAAGAAAAGACUCCUGUUAAUACCGGGGGUUCAUGACGGUACCUGAAGAAUAAGCACCGGCUAACUACGUGCCAGCCGCCGCGGUAAUAC
rnacentral:rRNA from 1 species